rnacentral:tRNA from 1 species
AUUUAUAUAGUUUAAAACAAAACAAUACAUUUUCACUGUAUAAAUAAAAAAAAUUAAUUUUUAUAAAUU